rnacentral:misc_RNA from 1 species
GACAUGUGUAGUUGGGAGAGUACCUGAAAAAAAUGGAUUAAUGAAGGAUUAGCAAUUAUAACCCCUCAAAAUGACACUCUCACAUGCGCACAAAGAAGAAAAUGGAAAGCAGUUGAUGAUGAGUCAUGCAGAUGAAAUUAAUACUAGCUAUAAUAUAUAGCUCAUACAUCUUAAUUCUGUUUUAAUCAAGUUUAAGCAAAAAUUUUCCAGUCAUUACGGAUGGGCAUGUGAUAAUUUCACAUGAGCAUGCUUCUUGCACGUGACAAUGGUCAAACUUGUAGCUAGUAAUCAUGAUACAUGCAUGAAGGUAUCACACAAAUUACUGAUCAUGCAU